rnacentral:lncRNA from 1 species
UAGAUGACUCCCACCUGCAGCGUUAGCGCUCUAGGCACCCAAUAACAGUAGACCCGUCAGCAACCUCGAAAACAUCCAAGUUUCUCCUGAAUUGAUGAGACAGAGAGCCAUUCCUCUCCAUCAGAUAUCCCAAUUGAGCUUCAGCCGACAGAUCCGAACUCUCUAACAAGUCACGACAAUGGCCACUAUCCUACCCCAC